GUCUUUGUAGCGCAAUGGAUAAGCGCGUUGGACUUCUAAUCCAAAGGUCGUGGGUUCGAUUUCCACCUGGAAUG